CAGUCGAACGAAACUUUUUUUAUCACCGAGUGCUUGCACUCACCGAUAAAGAGUUGAGUGGCGAACGGGUGAGUAACACGUGGGCAACCUGCCCAAAAGAGGGGGAUAACACUUGGAAACAGGUGCUAAUACCGCAUAACCAUAGUUACCGCAUGGUAACUAUGUAAAAGGUGGCUAUGCUACCGCUUUUGGAUGGGCCCGCGGUGCAUUAGCUAGUUGGUGGGGUAAAGGCUUACCAAGGCAAUGAUGCGUAGCCGAACUGAGAGGUUGAUCGGCCACAUUGGGACUGAGACACGGCCCAAACUCCUACGGGAGGCAGCAGUAGGGAAUCUUCCACAAUGGGCGAAAGCCUGAUGGAGCAACGCCGCGUGGGUGAAGAAGGUCUUCGGAUCGUAAAACCCUGUUGUUAGAGAAGAAAGUGCGUGAGAGUAACUGUUCACGUUUCGACGGUAUCUAACCAGAAAGCCACGGCUAACUACGUGCCAGCAGCCGCGGUAAUACGUAGGUGGCAAGCGUUAUCCGGAUUUAUUGGGCGUAAAGGGAACGCAGGCGGUCUUUUAAGUCUGAUGUGAAAGCCUUCGGCUUAACCGGAGUAGUGCAUUGGAAACUGGGAGACUUGAGUGCAGAAGAGGAGAGUGGAACUCCAUGUGUAGCGGUGAAAUGCGUAGAUAUAUGGAAGAACACCAGUGGCGAAAGCGGCUCUCUGGUCUGUAACUGACGCUGAGGUUCGAAAGCGUGGGUAGCAAACAGGAUUAGAUACCCUGGUAGUCCACGCCGUAAACGAUGAAUGCUAAGUGUU
rnacentral:rRNA from 1 species